rnacentral:rRNA from 1 species
CCUACGGGUGGCAGCAGUGAGGAAUAUUGGUCAAUGGACUCACGUCUGAACCAGCCAUGCCGCGUGCAGGAAGACUGCUCUAUGAGUUGUAAACUGCUUUUGUCCGAGGGUCAACGCAGAUACGCGUAUCUGUCUGAAAGUAUCGUACGAAUAAGGAACGGCUAACUCCGUGCCAGCCGGCGCGGUAAUACGGAGGAUUCAAGCGUUAUUCGGAUUUUUUUGGGUUUAAGGGUGCGUAGGCGGUAGGAUAAGUUAGAGGUGAAAUCCCGGGGCUUAACUUCGGAAUUGCCUCUGAUACUGGUCGGCUAGAGAGGAGUUGCGGUAGGCGGAAUGUAUGGUGUAGCGGUGAAAUGCUUAGAGAUCAUACAGAACACCGAUUGCGAAGGCAGCUUACCAAGCUACUUCUGACGUUGAGGCACGAAAGCGUGGGGAGCAAACAGGAUUAGAUACCCUGGUAGUC